GCUGAAAUUGUGCUAUCAGUAUGCUUAAGAUGUGUACUGAAAUAAAUUAAGUUGAUUCGUCCAUCAUGCUUUAGUUGUUGCGUACUGCUAUAAUCUAUCUGGUGGUUUUUUUUGCAACAUGUAUAAAUUGUCCACUGGUUUAAUUAGUUUCCUUGUCAACAUGCUUAAGGUGCAAGUGCAAAGGUUAAAAAAAUGCUCAAGGUGCAUUUUUUGUUUGACCAACAUGCAUAAGUGGGCUAAUGUUUUAAUUAAGUUGUUUUAUUAACAUUCCUUAAGUUGAGCACUAAAAGUACUUAACCUGGUUCUGCCAGCAUGCUCAAGUUGUUUUCUUACAAUCUAACUAUGCUUUUUUUUUUCCUUGAACAGCAUACAUAAAUUGGCUACUGAUUUAAUUAAGUUGGCUAUUGAAAGUAAUUAAGUUGCUUUUUGUUCAACAUGGUCAAAUUGCUAGCUGAGGAAAAAUUGGAUUUCUAUCAUGCUCAGGGAGCUAUGCAUAGAUUUAUCUAAGAGGGUCAGUACUUUUGUUGAAGCCAUUGGUAAUCCAGACAAUGAAGCAAGCUCUAGCAAUAAUCAGGGCAGAACAAGGAAGAGGCGAAGAUGUAUGGAGUUGACGAGGACAAAGAAAUGUCUGAAACUACCUGAACUUUGUAUGCAAAAGAGAAGUGUUCUUUGUCCAUGGGGGUUAGGUCCCUUAUGUAUGUAAUAUUUGCGUCCUUUUGUCCGAGAACAUCAGUGUGCGGGGGUGGCAGCAUUAUCAAGGGAGGAAAAUAUUAUCCCUACAUUGACGCGGCAACACUAUUUACAAAGUCAGAUAUGACAGAUGCUUAGUGUUCUGAAGCUACUAGUAGUCGAAGGUGGUUAUUUGGAUUAGCUACGCUGAUCGAACGAUGAAGAUUGAAUCAACUAAAUUUUCUGGGUUGGGUGCACAAUGGCGAGCCUUAGAGGAAAGCAAGCAUUU